rnacentral:rRNA from 1 species
GACGAACGCUGGCGGCGCGCUUAACACAUGCAAGUCGAGCGAUGAAGCUCCUUCGGGAGUGGAUUAGCGGCGGACGGGUGAGUAACAUGUGCGUACCCUACCUCAAAGGGGGGGAUAGCCUCCCGAAAGGGCGAUUACUGCCGCAUAAUAAUCAGUGUUCACAUGGAGAUUGAUGUAAAGGAGUAAUCCGAUUUGAGAUGGACCCGCUGCGCAUUAGCUAGUUGGUAGGGUAACGGCCUACCAAGGCGACGAAGCGUAGCCGACCUGUUAGGGUGAUCGGCCACAUUGGAACUGAGAGACGGUCCGGGCUCCUACGGGAGGAAGCAGUGGGGAAUAUUGCACAAUGGGCGAAAGCCUGAUGCAGCAACGCCGCGUGAGUGAAGAAGGUUUUCGGAUUGUAAAGCUCUGUCUUUGGGGACGAUAAUGACGGUACCCAAGGAGGAAGCCACGGCUAACUACGUGCCAGCCGCCGCCGUAAAAC